UUUGUUUUUAGGAGAAAAACAAACACACAAAUAGGAAUUCAAUUAGUGUGAGGCUGAUCUUUGGUAUAUUAAUCGUCACAAUAACUGAAAAGAUUCCAGCUACGACAGAACAAACCACACAUGACCCUCAUCAGCUGUUACACCUGAACACCACCUGCUGUGAUUGAGUGUGUGAAGACUAGAUAGCAAUCAAGCAGAGGUCAAAACAUAAUGGAUAAACCUGCAGCCUGUCUUCUCUGACGGGUUACAACCAACUAGACCAAUCCUGCUGAAAAACCUCAAGUUAAGGCUUUGGUGAGCGUUCAAUAAUCUUUCAGACCUUCUAUCGUGCAGCCCACCUCCUCCCCGUCUCCACCAAGAACCUUCAGGAUGUUCAGGAAGAUCAGUUUCCAUCACCAUCAUCUAGACUCCUCCAGUAGGAUCCUGUCUCCUGUCUAUACAGACCCACAUUUAAUGAAGAUGCUUCACAUUGAUGGAGUCUAAUUGUCAGUUUUUUUUCUUUCUGUCUCAAACCUCAAUAAACACAAAACACAGCUGGAAACCACAGAUGUUGAUGUCUAAUGAUAUGGACGUAUUACAAACAAAUGGAUCGGACAUAACUGUGUGACUGUGUGGUACUGCUUUAUUCUAUUUAAUGAAAAAACAACUUUGCUCUUUACAAUGCAGGAAAUAUACAUGCAUCUUCUGUCAUUAAACCACACGAGUCAAACAAAAAUAAGGUUUGUUUAAAUAAAACAACUCAGGAUGCUCUCA